GCCAGUGUGGAGUAGUGGUUUGAGCACUGCAUUACAACUCUGGAGACCAGGGUUCAGACCCCUGCUUGGCCA